UACGUAGGUGGCAAGCGUUGUCCGGAAUUAUUGGGCGUAAAGAGCGCGCAGGCGGUCCUUUAAGUCUGAUGUGAAAGCCCACGGCUCAACCGUGGAGGGUCAUUGGAAACUGGGGGACUUGAGUGCAGAAGAGGAAAGCGGAAUUCCACGUGUAGCGGUGAAAUGCGUAGAGAUGUGGAGGAACACCAGUGGCGAAGGCGGCUUUCUGGUCUGUAACUGACGCUGAGGCGCGAAAGCGUGGGGAGCAAACAGG
rnacentral:rRNA from 1 species